rfam:Fibulorhizoctonia sp. CBS 109695 unplaced genomic scaffold FIBSPscaffold_16, whole genome shotgun sequence.
GGUCGGAUGGUGUAGUUGGUGGCAUCUCUGAGUGUCUAUCAGGAGGUCCCUGGUUCAAUUCCAGCUCUGGCCA